UACGGAGGAUGCAAGCGUUAUCCGGAAUGAUUGGGCGUAAAGCGUCCGCAGGUGGCUGUGUAAGUCUGCUGUCAAAGAGCAAAGCUCAACUUUGUAAAGGCAGUGGAAACUACACGGCUAGAGUGCGUUCGGGGCAGAGGGAAGUUCCUGGUGUAGCGGUGAAAUGCGUAGAGAUCAGGAAGAACACCGGUGGCGAAGGCGCUCUGCUAGGCCGCAACU
rnacentral:rRNA from 1 species